AGAACAACAAACCACAACAAAAACAAUUUAUUGAAUUAAUAAGUUAUCAAAAUCUCAAAAAACAACACAACGACCUAAUAAUCAAAACAAGUUAACAAAACAAUCUAAUAAGAUAACACACACUAACAGUAUCUCUCAAAAGGAUAAAUUCAAU